UAUUUCAUUUUCGUGGUGGAAGGUGAAAAGAGAUUUUAGUCGAAGGUUUAAUGUUUGCCCUUAAUUAAGUGGUUAUCUUGCAAUAAACGACAACAAGGAUGUUGAACGAGUGGAGGAAGCAUCGGAACAGACGUUUACUGAUUUGCUUGUAAGUGACAUGAUAGAGACGCUCACUAAUUUCGUGUUUCAAAUUAAAGGUCCUCAGACAUCAGUGGAAUGAUAACAUGCAGGUUCAAUUCAUGCAUUCGUUUGGCUUCGUGUACAUGUUUGAAACCAGUGAUUCUACGAUAGAUCACUCAGAGGAUAUAGCCAGGGGAAGGCGAGUGAGCAAUUGAUGAACUCAUGACUUUUGUCAUGAAAAAUCUGUCUUUGCCUAUACACCAAACCCCAAUCUCCGUGUAUUUGGCAUUCAUUUUACUAUUUUGACAAUUUAUUAUUCUAUUAUAAUUCGAAAGCGAGCCAGAAAUGACUUCAACCGGGAAAUGUGGAAUGCAUAAAGAUGUACGAAAGGCUAAGGCCACUGAAUGCCAAAUGUUCAACAGGUUCUUGUCUUUUAUCAGUUAGUAUGAGAGGUCCAAACUGAGGGAAGCCUGUUCGAGGCCAUAGCUGGCAUGCUCCGCACAUUCAUGUCCAGAGGAACCAUACGAUACUCAAUGUCAAGCUCUUUAAAUGUUUUGAUCAUCUCUUCAAGAACAAGUGCUCUCCUCGCCCACCUUUUACCCAUGUCCUGAAAAUUGAUUCGAUGAGAAAGCCAUAACGAUAUCUUCAGCCUGUUCAUGUCCUCAAUGUCUCGAAGAACGAUCAUUGGAGCUGGAUACCAGUGAUCACUAUUCUUCUCGAUAUAGCUGCCGUUGCAUUAAGAAGAAGGGAAGGUGAUCAGAUAUCUAACUUGUCCAGAGAAUGUCAGAAAUAGAAAACAUUUCUCUAAAGCCAAAAUACCUGGUGAUCUUUUCCUUCAUCAAAGCAAUCUUUUCUACAGGAGUUGAAAUGUGGAUAGAGAAAUCAAUGGCAUCUCCCAUAUCUGGACUCCGAUAGUAAUUACUUAUGGGCUUGUUAGAUAACAAGCUGUUCGGGUAGCAGAUCUUUUGGUUAUCAUACCUCAGAAAUGUUGUCGUUAAUAUAUUCAUCUCUUCAACAACCAACUGAAACCAUACAAAAUGGAGGUUAGAGCCUUAUUUGCUGAUAAGGAGGCAUAUGAAACAAAUACAUGCAUGCAGACUUAAUUUAUUUCUGUUGAAAUACCUGAA